rnacentral:tRNA from 1 species
UCCCUGGAGGUCCAGUGGUUAAGACUCUGUGCUUCCACUGCAGGGGCAUGGGUUCGAUCCCUGACUGGGGAA